rfam:Oryza sativa (indica cultivar-group) chromosome 10, whole genome shotgun sequence.
CCUAAGUGCAGUUGUAUCACUGUUCAUGUCGAACGUUUGACUAUUCGUCUUAUAUAAAAAAAGAUUGUGAUUAGUAUUUUUAUUUUUAUUAGAUAUAAAACAUGAAUAGUACUUUAUGUGUGACUAAUUUUUUUAAUAUUUCUCAUAAAAUUUUCAAAUAAGUUGGAUGGUCAAACGCUUAUUAAGUUAUAUGUAUGGACGGAGGUAGU